UAAGUCUACCAAACUCUUUUAGUGUCCCUGUUCUGGCAUCUAACAUAUUAGCUAUUCCUCCCAGCUUAUAAUGUCCCCUGAAUCUGAUCAGUAUGCUGCCUUCAUCAUCAAUGACUGUUUUGACUAGGGCAGAGAUAUAAAUCAUCUUCAAGUGGUAGAAUCUAUGAAGUGACACUCCCUGGGCCAUGUUACUUUCACUAGUUUAGUGAGCACCUAUAAUGUGAUCUAAUAAUGGCCUUUCUUGGAGUAUCGUCUCUUCUUCCAUGUGGCCACAGGGCAGGCUUCUGGGACGUGUUUGUACAAUGUCACACCCUCCCUAAACAUUGGCUCUCUGGGUAAGGUUGAUUGGGCCAGGGCUUCACACAAGUGAACCAAUCAAAAUUCCUUCUCUUGGAACCAAACAUUGAGACAAUGGAGUUCCGUCCAAUCUCCGGGUGGAAGAGAAUGAACCAUUCAGAGCUUUGAGGCCUGGGGAAAGGAUGUGAUGUUCAGAGCUGUGAAACCAUUUCUGGAGCCUAAGCCUGGGACCAGCCUGAAAAAAAUAUCUGACACCUCAAGUGGACAAAAGGCUCUCAAAUCCAUGGCACCCCUGAGAAUAUGGUGGAUCUCUGCCUCAAACCACACCCGAAGCCAAACGCCCUUGAAUCCAUCAGCAUGUGAACCAACAAAUUCCAUUAUUUGCUUGAGCCAGUUUCAAAUGAGUUUUUGUUUUUUGAAACAUAAACUAUUCUAAGUGAUAGACUGCAGGGAGUGGGAAGAGGAAUGGAUUACAGUCGGGGAAUGUCACCACCCACUUGUUUUUGGCAAAGUUUCAUAUGUAAGCCCUCCCCUUGAGUCUCCUAAUUUGUUCAGAUUGAAAAGCAGGAACAGACGAUUAAGCAGCCCUGAUAACCCCUCUUAAAGCACGCUGACCUGGGUGCUGAGUGCCGAGUCUUCUGCCGCAGGCAUCUCAUUUUAGGAUUUGGUUUCUUGUCUACCAAGCCAUUGAAAUAACAUCAGCUUCAUUUGGAAGACCUCCAAUUGUUAGCAGAGCGGUGCAGAAACAUUUCCUGCAAUGAGAAGAAAAUGACCUCUCUCGGGGGGGUUUCUCCUAAAGUUUAUUAAUAAAACAUUUGAUUGAAA